rnacentral:rRNA from 1 species
AGAGUUUGAUCCUGGCUCAGAUUGAACGCUGGCGGCAUGCUUUACACAUGCAAGUCGGACGGCAGCACAGAGAAGCUUGCUUCUUGGGUGGCGAGUGGCGAACGGGUGAGUAACAUAUCGGAACGUACCGAGUAAUGGGGGAUAACUAAUCGAAAGAUUAGCUAAUACCGCAUAUUCUCUGAGGAGGAAAGCAGGGGACCUUCGGGCCUUGCGUUAUUCGAGCGGCCGAUAUCUGAUUAGCUAGUUGGUGGGGUAAAGGCCUACCAAGGCGACGAUCAGUAGCGGGUCUGAGAGGAUGAUCCGCCACACUGGGACUGAGACACGGCCCAGACUCCUACGGGAGGCAGCAGUGGGGAAUUUUGGACAAUGGGCGCAAGCCUGAUCCAGCCAUGCCGCGUGUCUGAAGAAGGCCUUCGGGUUGUAAAGGACUUUUGUCAGGGAAGAAAAGGCUGUUGCUAAUAUCGACAGCUGAUGACGGUACCUGAAGAAUAAGCACCGGCUAACUACGUGCCAGCAGCCGCGGUAAUACGUAGGGUGCGAGCGUUAAUCGGAAUUACUGGGCGUAAAGCGAGCGCAGACGGUUACUUAAGCAGGAUGUGAAAUCCCCGGGCUCAACCUGGGAACUGCGUUCUGAACUGGGUGACUAGAGUGUGUCAGAGGGAGGUAGAAUUCCACGUGUAGCAGUGAAAUGCGUAGAGAUGUGGAGGAAUACCGAUGGCGAAGGCAGCCUCCUGGGAUAACACUGACGUUCAUGCUCGAAAGCGUGGGUAGCAAACAGGAUUAGAUACCCUGGUAGUCCACGCCCUAAACGAUGUCAAUUAGCUGUUGGGCAACUUGAUUGCUUAGUAGCGUAGCUAACGCGUGAAAUUGACCGCCUGGGGAGUACGGUCGCAAGAUUAAAACUCAAAGGAAUUGACGGGGACCCGCACAAGCGGUGGAGCAUGUGGUUUAAUUCGAAGCAACGCGAAGAACCUUACCAAGUCUUGACAUACUGUGAGGACACAAGAGAUUGUGUUGUUCUGACCUUUGGUUAGACACAGAUACAGGUGGUGCAUGGUUGUCGUCAGCUCGUGUCGUGAGAUGUUGGGUUAAGUCCCGCAACGAGCGCAACCCUUGUCAUUAGUUGCCAUCAUUAAGUUGGGCACUCUAAUGAGACUGCCGGUGACAAGCCGGAGGAAGGUGGGGAUGACGUCAAGUCCUCAUGGCCCUUAUGACCAGGGCUUCACACGUCAUACAAUGGUCGGUACAGAGGGUAGCCAAGCCGCGAGGUGGAGCCAAUCUCACAAAACCGAUCGUAGUCCGGAUUGCACUCUGCAACUCGAGUGCAUGAAGUCGGAAUCGCUAGUAAUCGCAGGUCAGCAUACUGCGGUGAAUACGUUCCCGGGUCUUGUACACACCGCCCGUCACACCAUGGGAGUGGGGGAUACCAGAAGUAGGUAGGGUAACCGCAAGGAGCCCGCUUACCACGGUAUGCUUCAUGACUGGGGUGAAGUCGUAACAAGGUAGCCGUAGGGGAACCUGCGGCUG